CCUACGGGUGGCAGCAGUGGGGAAUAUUGCACAAUGGGGGCAACCCUGAUGCAGCGACGCCGCGUGAGUGAAGAAGUAUUUCGGGAUGUAAAGCUCUGUCAGCAGGGAAGAAAAUGCCGGUACCUAACCAAGAAGCCACGGCUAACUACGUGCCAGCAGCCGCGGUAAUACGUAGGGGGCAAGGGUUAGCCGGAUUUACUGGGUGUAAAGGGAGCGUCGACGGCAGGGCAAGUCUGGAGUGAAGGGCGGGGGCUCAACCCCCGGACUGCUCUGGAAACUGCCAGUCUGGAGUGCAGGAGAGGUAAGUGGAAUUCCUGGUGUAGCGGUGAAAUGCGUAGAUAUUAGGAGGAACACCAGUGGCGAAGGCGGCUUACUGGACUGUAACUGACGUUGAGGCUCGAAAGCGUGGGGAGCAAACAGGAUUAGAUACCCCUGUAGUC
rnacentral:rRNA from 1 species